rnacentral:lncRNA from 1 species
AUGCAACUAACCUGUGAUUUCCUCCUCGCAGCUUACACCCGUGAACAGUCAACUGUACCACACAUUAGGACACCUGUGACCACACACAAGACCAGCACAGCCACCUCCAUCAGCAGCACCUCCAAGACCUCUGUCUCCACAGGGCCCAGCCCAGCAAGCAGCACAGGAGCCCCUCUGGAAACAACCUCUGCCCAUGCCAGCUCUCCACCUGCCCCCAGCAGCCCGCUCAGCACAAGGCUGCCAUCCACUGCCACCACUUCCACUGGCUCCUCCACAGCAGCUGCCAGCACCAGCCCCAGGCCUACACCUACAACCCUGAGGCCCAGGCCCUCUUCCCCAGCAACCCAAGCUGCAAAGGAGUCUCCUGUAACAGAGUCCUCUGCACCCACCACAGCUAAAACCAGCACGCUGCCACAACCUGCUUCUUCUCCCUCCUCAACUGUGUCCUCAACAUGGCUCAGCUCCUCACAGCCUGCCUUCACCCAUGAAGAGUCAGCUGUGCCACACACUGGGACACCUGUGACCACACACAAGACCAGCACAGCCACCUCCAUCAGCAGCACCUCCAAGACCUCUGUCUCCACAGGGCCCAGCCCAGCAAGCAGCACAGGAGCCCCUCUGGAAACAACCUCUGCCCAUGCCAGCUCUCCACCUGCCCCCAGCAGCCCGCUCAGCACAAGGCUGCCAUCCACUGCCACCACUUCCACUGGCUCCUCCACAGCAGCUGCCAGCACCAGCCCCAGGCCUACACCUACAACCCUGAGGCCCAGGCCCUCUUCCCCAGCAACCCAAGCUGCAAAGGAGUCUCCUGUAACAGAGUCCUCUACAGUCACCACAGCCAAAACCAGCACUCUGCCACAACCUGCUUCUUCUCCCUCCUCAACUGUGUCCUCAACAUGGCUCAGCUCCUCACAGCCUGUCUUCACCCAUGAAGAGUCAGCUGUGCCACACACUGGGACACCUGUGACCACACACAAGACCAGCACAGCCACCUCCAUCAGCAGCACCUCCAAGACCUCUGUCUCCACAGGGCCCAGCCCAGCAAGCAGCACAGGAGCCCCUCUGGAAACAACCUCUGCCCAUGCCAGCUCUCCACCUGCCCCCAGCAGCCCGCUCAGCACAAGGCUGCCAUCCACUGCCACCACUUCCACUGGCUCCUCCACAGCAGCUGCCAGCACCAGCCCCAGGCCUACACCUACAACCCUGAGGCCCAGGCCCUCUUCCCCAGCAACCCAAGCUGCAAAGGAGUCUCCUGUAACAGAGUCCUCUGCAUCCACCACAGCCAAAACCAGCACGCUGCCACAACCUGCUUCUUCUCCCUCCUCAACUGUGUCCUCAACAUGGCUCAGCUCCUCACAGCCUGGUAAGGCUCUCUCCUGUGCAUCCCGCUAGUUCUCCUUGUGUGCCUUUUCCUUUCUUCAUUUCUAGCAGAGGAGGUUUUUUCAGU